GCUGGGCACGGUGGCGUGUGCCUAUAGUCCUAGCUACUCGGGAGGCUGAGGUGGGAGAAUCGCUUGAGCCCAGGAGUUCUGGGCUGCAGUGCGCUAUGCCGAUUGGGUAUCCGCACUAAUUUCAGCAUCAAUACGGUGGCCUCCAGGAAGCGGGAGACCACCAGGUUGCCUAAGGACGGGUGAACCAACCCAGGUUGGAAACGGAGCAUGUCAAAACUCCCUUGCUGAUCAGUAAUGGGAUUGAGCCUGUGAAUAGCCACUGCACUCCAGCAUGGGCAGCAUAGCGAGACCCCAUCUCUU
ensembl:misc_RNA Metazoa_SRP Metazoan signal recognition particle RNA